rnacentral:rRNA from 1 species
AGGGUUUGAUCAUGGCUCAGGAUAAACGCUGGCGGCGUGCUUCAGGCAUGCAAGUCGAACGAGCAAUCCCGGUUCGCCGGGUGCGCUAGUGGCGGACGGGUGAGUAACACGUAAGCAACCUGCCCAAAAGUGGGGAAUAACCCACCGAAAGGUGAGCUAAUACCGCAUGUGAUGUGUUCCCCCUGGGGAAUUCAUUAAAGGAUUUAUUCGCUUUUGGAGGGGCUUGCGGCCGAUUAGCUAGUUGGUAGGGUAAAGGCCUACCAAGGCGACGAUCGGUAGCUGGUCUGAGAGGACGGACAGCCACACGGGGACUGAGAUACGGCCCCGACUCCUACGGGAGGCAGCAGCUAGGAAUCUUGGGAAUGGGCGAAAGCCUGACCCAGCAACGCCGCGUGGGCGAUGAAGGCCUUCGGGUCGUAAAGCCCUUUUGCAAGGGACGAUAAUGACGGUACCUUGCGAAUAAGCCACGGCUAACUACGUGCCAGCAGCCGCGGUAAUACGUAGGUGGCAAGCGUUGUCCGGAUUUACUGGGCGUAAAGGGCGUGCAGGCGGUUUGUUAAGUCUAGGGUGAAAGCUCCCGGCUCAACUGGGAGAGGUCCUUGGAUACUGGCAAACUUGAGGGAUGCAGAGGAAAGUGGAAUUCCCGGUGUAGUGGUGAUAUGCGUAGAUAUCGGGAGGAACACCAGUGGCGAAGGCGGCUUUCUGGGCAUUACCUGACGCUGAGACGCGAAAGCGUGGGGAGCGAACCGGAUUAGAUACCCGGGUAGUCCACGCCGUAAACGAUGGACACUAGGUGUAGGGGGUAUCGACCCCCUCUGUGCCGUAGCUAACGCAAUAAGUGU